AGAGUAUCCUAAGGCCAGCGAGAGAACUAUUGUUAAGGAACUCGGCAAAAUGACCCCGUAACUUAGGGAGAAGGGGUGCCUGUCUAUGACAGGCCGCAGAGAAUAGGCCCAAGCGACUGUUUACCAAAAACACAGGUUUCUGCUAAGUCGUAAGACGAUGUAUAGGAGCUGACGCCUGCCCGGUGCUGGAAGGUUAAGGGGAUCUGUUAGAGCAAUCGAAGCAGUGAACUUAAGCCCCAGUAAACGGCGGCCGUAACAAUAACGGUCCUAAGGUAGCGAAAUUCCUUGUCGGGUAAGUUCCGACCCGCACGAAAGGCGUAACGAUUUGGGCACUGUCUCAACAAUAGACUCGGUGAAAUUGUAAUCCCGGUGAAGAUGCCGGGUACCUGCGACAGGACGGAAAGACCCCAUGGAGCUUUACUGUAGCUUGACGUUGGGUCUUGGUACUACAUGUACAGGAUAGGUGGGAGACUAUGAAGCAUGGACGCCAGUCUGUGUGGAGUCAUCCUUGGGAUACCACCCUUGUAGUACUGGGAUCUUAACCAUAGGCCUUGAAUCAGGUCUUGGAACACCGUCAGGUGGGCAGUUUGACUGGGGCGGUCGCCUCUUAAAAAGUAACGGAGGCGCUCAAAGGUUUCCUCAGCACGGUCGGAAAUCGUGCGAAGAGUGUAAAGGCAAAAGGAAGCUUGAUUGCAAGACAUACAGGUCGAGCAAGGACGAAAGUCGGACUUAGUGAUCCGGUGGUACCGCAUGGAAGGGCCAUCGCUCAACGGAUAAAAGCUACCCUGGGGAUAACAGGCUUAUCUCCCCCAAGAGUCCACAUCGACGGGGAGGUUUGGCACCUCGAUGUCGGCUCAUCACAUCCUGGGGCUGUAGUAGGUCCCAAGGGUUGGGCUGUUCGCCCAUUAAAGUGGUACGCGAGCUGGGUUCAGAACGUCGUGAGACAGUUCGGUCCCUAUCCGUCGCAGGCGUAGGAAAUUUGAGAAGACCUGUCCUUAGUACGAGAGGACCGGGAUGGACGUACCUCUGGUGUACCAGUUGUUCUGCCAAGGGCAUGGCUGGGUAGCUAUGUACGGAAUGGAUAAGCGCUGAAAGCAUCUAAGCGCGAAGCCAACUUCAAGAUAAGAUUUCCCACCGUAAGGGUAAGACCCCAGGAAGACUACCUGGUUGAUAGGUCGAAGGUGUAAGUGCAGUAAUGUAUUUAGCUUAUUGAUACUGAUAGGUCGAGGACUUGACC
rnacentral:rRNA from 1 species